AGGAGGCAGCAGUGGGGAAUUUUGGACAAUGGGCGAAAGCCUGAUCCAGCAAUGCCGCGUGCAGGAUGAAGGCCUUCGGGUUGUAAACUGCUUUCGUACGGAACGAAAAGACUCUGGUUAAUACCUGGGGUUCAUGACGGUACUGUAAGAAUAAGCACCGGCUAACUACGUGCCAGCAGCCGCGGUAAUACGUAGGGUGCAAGCGUUAAUCGGAAUUACUGGGCGUAAAGCGUGCGCAGGCGGUGAUGUAAGACAGAUGUGAAAUCCCCGAGCUCAACCUGGGAACUGCAUUAGUGACUGCAUCGCUGGAGUGCGGCGGAGGGGGAUGGAAUUCCGCGUGUAGCAGUGAAAUGCGUAGAUAUGCGGAGGAACACCGAUGGCGAAGGCAAUCCCCUGGGCCUGCACUGACGCUCAUGCACGAAAGCGUGGGGAGCAAACAGGAUUAGAUACCCUUGUAGUCU
rnacentral:rRNA from 1 species